ACUGCUCAGGACGAACGCUGGCGGCGUGCCUAAUACAUGCAAGUCGAGCGGACAGAUGGGAGCUUGCUCCCUGAUGUUAGCGGCGGACGGGUGAGUAACACGUGGGUAACCUGCCUGUAAGACUGGGAUAACUCCGGGAAACCGGGGCUAAUACCGGAUGGUUGUUUGAACCGCAUGGUUCAAACAUAAAAGGUGGCUUCGGCUACCACUUACAGAUGGACCCGCGGCGCAUUAGCUAGUUGGUGAGGUAAUGGCUCACCAAGGCAACGAUGCGUAGCCGACCUGAGAGGGUGAUCGGCCACACUGGGACUGAGACACGGCCCAGACUCCUACGGGAGGCAGCAGUAGGGAAUCUUCCGCAAUGGACGAAAGUCUGACGGAGCAACGCCGCGUGAGUGAUGAAGGUUUUCGGAUCGUAAAGCUCUGUUGUUAGGGAAGAACAAGUACCGUUCGAAUAGGGCGGUACCUUGACGGUACCUAACCAGAAAGCCACGGCUAACUACGUGCCAGCAGCCGCGGUAAUACGUAGGUGGCAAGCGUUGUCCGGAAUUAUUGGGCGUAAAGGGCUCGCAGGCGGUUUCUUAAGUCUGAUGUGAAAGCCCCCGGCUCAACCGGGGAGGGUCAUUGGAAACUGGGGAACUUGAGUGCAGAAGAGGAGAGUGGAAUUCCACGUGUAGCGGUGAAAUGCGUAGAGAUGUGGAGGAACACCAGUGGCGAAGGCGACUCUCUGGUCUGUAACUGACGCUGAGGAGCGAAAGCGUGGGGAGCGAACAGGAUUAGAUACCCUGGUAGUCCACGCCGUAAACGAUGAGUGCUAAGUGUUAGGGGGUUUCCGCCCCUUAGUGCUGCAGCUAACGCAUUAAGCACUCCGCCUGGGGAGUACGGUCGCAAGACUGAAACUCAAAGGAAUUGACGGGGGCCCGCACAAGCGGUGGAGCAUGUGGUUUAAUUCGAAGCAACGCGAAGAACCUUACCAGGUCUUGACAUCCUCUGACAAUCCUAGAGAUAGGACGUCCCCUUCGGGGGCAGAGUGACAGGUGGUGCAUGGUUGUCGUCAGCUCGUGUCGUGAGAUGUUGGGUUAAGUCCCGCAACGAGCGCAACCCUUGAUCUUAGUUGCCAGCAUUCAGUUGGGCACUCUAAGGUGACUGCCGGUGACAAACCGGAGGAAGGUGGGGAUGACGUCAAAUCAUCAUGCCCCUUAUGACCUGGGCUACACACGUGCUACAAUGGACAGAACAAAGGGCAGCGAAACCGCGAGGUUAAGCCAAUCCCACAAAUCUGUUCUCAGUUCGGAUCGCAGUCUGCAACUCGACUGCGUGAAGCUGGAAUCGCUAGUAAUCGCGGAUCAGCAUGCCGCGGUUGAAUACGUUCCCGGGCCUUGUACACACCGCCCGUCACACCACGAGAGUUUGUAACACCCGAAGUCGGUGAGGUAACCUUUUAGGAGCCAGCCGCCGAAGGUGGGACAGAUGAUUGGGGUGAAGUCGUAACAAGGUAGCCGU
rnacentral:rRNA from 1 species